rnacentral:rRNA from 1 species
GAUGAACGCUAGCGGAAGGCUUAAUACAUGCAAGUCGAGGGGCAGCGCAGUGUAGCAAUACAUGGGCGGCGACCGGCAAACGGGUGCGGAACACGUACGCAACCUUCCUUUAAGCGGGGGAUAGCCCAGGGAAACUUGGAUUAAUACCCCGUAAUAUUAUGAAGUGGCAUCACUUUAUACUUAUAGCUCCGGCGCUUAAAGAUGGGCGUGCGACUGAUUAGGUAGUUGGCGGGGUAACGGCCCACCAAGCCUGCGAUCAGUAACUGGUGUGAGAGCACGACCAGUCACACGGGCACUGAGACACGGGCCCGACUCCUACGGGAGGCAGCAGUAAGGAAUAUUGGUCAAUGGACGCAAGUCUGAACCAGCCAUGCCGCGUGGAGGAUGAAGGUCCUCUGGAUUGUAAACUUCUUUUAUUUGGGAAGAAACCCACUGUUUCUACGGUGGUUGACGGUACCAGAUGAAUAAGCACCGGCUAACUCCGUGCCAGCCGCCGCUGUAA